rnacentral:rRNA from 1 species
GAUGAACGCUGGCGGCGUGCCUAAUACAUGCAAGUCGAGCGAACGGACGAGAAGCUUGCUUCUCUGAUGUUAGCGGCGGACGGGUGAGUAACACGUGGAUAACCUACCUAUAAGACUGGGAUAACUUCGGGAAACCGGAGCUAAUACCGGAUAAUAUUUUGAACCGCAUGGUUCAAAAGUGAAAGACGGUCUUGCUGUCACUUAUAGAUGGAUCCGCGCUGCAUUAGCUAGUUGGUAAGGUAACGGCUUACCAAGGCAACGAUGCAUAGCCGACCUGAGAGGGUGAUCGGCCACACUGGAACUGAGACACGGUCCAGACUCCUACGGGAGGCAGCAGUAGGGAAUCUUCCGCAAUGGGCGAAAGCCUGACGGAGCAACGCCGCGUGAGUGAUGAAGGUCUUCGGAUCGUAAAACUCUGUUAUUAGGGAAGAACAUAUGUGUAAGUAACUGUGCACAUCUUGACGGUACCUAAUCAGAAAGCCACGGCUAACUACGUGCCAGCAGCCGCGGUAAUACGUAGGUGGCAAGCGUUAUCCGGAAUUAUUGGGCGUAAAGCGCGCGUAGGCGGUUUUUUAAGUCUGAUGUGAAAGCCCACGGCUCAACCGUGGAGGGUCAUUGGAAACUGGAAAACUUGAGUGCAGAAGAGGAAAGUGGAAUUCCAUGUGUAGCGGUGAAAUGCGCAGAGAUAUGGAGGAACACCAGUGGCGAAGGCGACUUUCUGGUCUGUAACUGACGCUGAUGUGCGAAAGCGUGGGGACCAAACAGGAUUAGAUACCCUGGUAGUCCACGCCGUAAACGAUGAGUGCUAAGUGUUAGGGGGUUUCCGCCCCUUAGUGCUGCAGCUAACGCAUUAAGCACUCCGCCUGGGGAGUACGACCGCAAGGUUGAAACUCAAAGGAAUUGACGGGGACCCGCACAAGCGGUGGAGCAUGUGGUUUAAUUCGAAGCAACGCGAAGAACCUUACCAAAUCUUGACAUCCUUUGACAACUCUAGAGAUAGAGUUUUCCCCUUCGGGGGACAGAGUGACAGGUGGUGCAUGGUUGUCGUCAGCUCGUGUCGUGAGAUGUUGGGUUAAGUCCCGCAACGAGCGCAACCCUUAAGCUUAGUUGCCAUCAUUAAGUUGGGCACUCUAAGUUGACUGCCGGUGACAAACCGGAGGAAGGUGGGGAUGACGUCAAAUCAUCAUGCCCCUUAUGAUUUGGGCUACACACGUGCUACAAUGGACAAUACAAAGGGCAGCGAAACCGCGAGGUCAAGCAAAUCCCAUAAAGUUGUUCUCAGUUCGGAUUGUAGUCUGCAACUCGACUAUAUGAAGCUGGAAUCGCUAGUAAUCGUAGAUCAGCAUGCUACGGUGAAUACGUUCCCGGGUCU